rnacentral:lncRNA from 1 species
GGGCAGUCUUUAAAGUUGUCUUCAAGGAACGGAAAGAGGAGUGAGGAAAGGAUUUAGGAUCUAUGGGGUCAGCUAGGUUUCUUUUUGUGAGUUUAUAUAAUGGUUUUGUUAGGAUGGCAAAAGUGCUGGGGUUUGAGAGAUCAGUCAGACACGAUCGGCAGGGAGAGCACGUGUGUUUUUAGGAGAAUUAUGCCGAGAUAGGUAACAGAUGAGGAAGAAAUUUGGGCUUGACUGAUGUAUUGGGGGCUGUCUGUGAAGCUUUGAGGCAGUACGG